CCUACGGGCGGCAGCAGUGAGGAAUAUUGGUCAAUGGACGAGAGUCUGAACCAGCCAAGUAGCGUGAAGGAUGACUGCCCUAUGGGUUGUAAACUUCUUUUAUAUGGGAAUAAAAUGUUCCACGUGUGGGAUUUUGUAUGUACCAUAUGAAUAAGGAUCGGCUAACUCCGUGCCAGCAGCCGCGGUAAUACGGAGGAUCCGAGCGUUAUCCGGAUUUAUUGGGUUUAAAGGGAGCGUAGGUGGAUUGUUAAGUCAGUUGUGAAAGUUUGCGGCUCAACCGUAAAAUUGCAGUUGAAACUGGCGCUCUUGAGUGGAAGAGAAGUAUGCGGAAUGCGUGGUGUAGCGGUGAAAUGCAUAGAUAUCACGCAGAACCCCGAUUGCGAAGGCAGCAUGCCGGCUUCCGACUGACGCUGAAGCACGAAAGCGUGGGGAUCGAACAGGAUUAGAUACCGCAGUAGUC
rnacentral:rRNA from 1 species